rnacentral:rRNA from 1 species
GUACCCGCACAAGCGGUGGAGCGUGUGGCUUAAUUCGAUGCCGAGCGAAGAACCUUACCAAGAUUUGACAUGGCAAUUAUCCCCUUUGGUAAUUCUUUGGGGUCAUGUUGUCACAGGUCCUGCAUGGCUGUCGUCAGCUCGUGUCGUGAGGUGUACGGUUAAGUCCGGUAACGAGCGCAACCCACAUCCCAUGUUACAAGUGUCUUGGGAGACUGCCUCGGUAAAACGGGGAGGAAGGAGUGGAUGACGUCUGGUCAGCAUUAGCCUUAUGUCUUGGGCUGCACACGCGCUACAAUGGUUAGUACAAUAGGAAGCAAUGCGGUAACGCGGAGCAAAUCCUUAAAACUAGCCUUAGUUCGGAUUGAGGGCUGCAACUCGCCCUCAUGAAGUUGGAAUCGCUAGUAAUCGUGGGUCAGCAUACCACGGUGAAUACGUUCUCGGGUAUU